AACCUUUAGCAAGACAAAUAUUAAAGGCAACGCCUGCCCAGUGAACAAUUAAACGGCCGCGGUACCCUAACCGUGCAAAGGUAGCGUAAUCACUUGUCUAUUAAUUGUAGACCCGUAUGAAAGGCAAAAUGAGGGCCUAACUGUCUCUUAUAAUAAAUCAAUUAAACUGAUCUCCCAGUCCAAAAGCUGGAAUACCUACAUAAGACCAGAAGACCCUGUGAAGCUUAAACUAAACUAUUAAAUCAUAUAAUAGCUCCUUUCGGUUGGGGCGACCUUGGAAAUAAAAAGAACUUCCAAACAAAAUGACCUUAUCUCAUACUCUCGGCUAACAAGCCUGACCACAGACCCAGCAAAGCUGAUAAUUGAACCAAGUUACUCCAGGGAUAACAGCGCUAUCUUCUUCAAGAGCCCAUAUCAAAAAGAAGGUUUACGACCUCGAUGUUGGAUCAGGACAUCCUAUUGGUGCAACCGCUAUUAAGGGUUCGUUUGUUCAACGAUUAACAGUCCU
rnacentral:rRNA from 1 species